rnacentral:SRP_RNA from 1 species
GCUGGGCGUGGAGGCGCGCACCUGUGGUCCCAGCUACUUGGGAGGCUAAGGCAGGAGGAUUACUUGAACUCAGGAGGUCAGGGCUACAGUGAGCCGUGAUUGUGCCACUGUACUCCAGCCUAGGUGACAGAGUAAGACUCUGCCUAAA